AACACCCUCAGAACUUUUCUUGAUUUUCGAAUCUUGGAGCUCUGGAUUUGAGUGAUCCCAACGUGUUCUUUCGCAGAACAUGGCGGGCCACUUGAAAUGCAGGUGCAGCUGGACUUUCUUCUGAGCUAAAAGCAUAUUUAUUUAGUCCUGUCAACACUUGUGUUGCGGAUUAUUACUUCUGCUGCAGCUUACAUAAAGGUUGAUUGUUCAAAUGCUGACUGAUGCAGGAUUUAUCAGGUAGCGUAAAGCGAUCUGUUAA
rnacentral:misc_RNA from 1 species